rnacentral:lncRNA from 1 species
UUUUUUUUUUUUUUUUUUUUUUUGCCUUUUCUAGGUCCACUCCCACGGCAUAUGGAGGUUUCCAGGCUAGGGGAGCAGGAGCGGCCCUAGAAAAGGAAAAAAGACAAAAAAAAUUUUUAAAUAAAAUUAAAAAAAAUUUAGUUAAUUAUAACCAAGAACAAAACGCACCAACAGAAGGCCUUACAGUGAUUUUCCAAUUCUUCAGAGAAUUGUUCAGAUUCUCCCUUUGAAUAUUUCAUUACUCUGAUCAGGGUAGCGUAACUACUUAGGCUAUUAAAAGAUGGAACUGAGUCAAUCAAUAGUUCACAUACUUUAAGGUUUAUUUUGGGAUUUCAGGAGAUGAGGAUGAUAAGAUAAAAUGAGGAAAGUGGGAUUAUGAAUAUGCUACUAGAGUUUGCUAGUAAUUUUCUGUUUGGUCCUUUUUCCAUCCCCAGACUAAUUUUCCACCAUUGUGGCCCUGCUCUGUGCUCCAAAAGCUGACCUCUAUGGGUAGCGUCACUGGGUUCAUGCAGGCAGGCUUCUAUGUGGGUUUGACCAAUAGAAAGCCCUGGAAGGAGAUCAAAGGAGGAGGAAAGAAAGUGGGGGAGGGGAGUGUUGCUUCUUUAUUCCUUCCUUGGUCUGGCUGUAUUUUCUGGCAGUGGCUGGAUCCCUCCAGGACUAUAGUUUCUGUCAGACAGCCCCUCCUCUAUGGCUCCAGCUCUCUCCAGCUCUCUCACUGAGCUCUAGGAAGGAAUGCUAUUUCUUCUCUUUGCUCCUUUGGACCUAGUAAUGAUAAUGGCUUCCCACCGCAGUUAGUUUCUGGGUGACAAGAACCCCAUGUUACCCUUAACUCUCUGAAAAUAAUCCCUUCAUUAAAAGUCUCCUGAACCAUCAGAGUCAUACUGUUUCCUGCCAGAAGAAUUCAAACCACAGACCUAUAAAGCUAGCAAUCUUCCUCCUUUGCAUCUGAGCAGUUAUCACAAAGGUUAUUCAUCUUCCAGAGCAAUUCCUUCACACCAAGCUCGGCAUGUGAGCUCUCAGGUUUCUCAGGCAGAAAUGACACCUUUUAAACUGGUCAGUGUAGGAGGGCAUUCUUGCAAAACAGCUGGCAGAAUGGAAGGGCCAACACUUAACCAAUUCUCCAGGCAGGAGUCUGCUACAUGUCAAGAAUAAAAUGUUUCCAAAGAGAUGCCACUUCCUAUUUCUCCCUGAGCUUCCUCUAGCUGAGAGCUUAGAAUCAAAGUCAGCAUUGUGUUUUCACACCAAAUACCUACAAGUUGUAUCACUGCCUGAGGAAGCUGUCCUGUGUGUGUCACUUCUCUUGGCUAGUUUCUCAGACCUGAGGAUCUGCUUACCACUAGCCAAGCAUCCAGAAAGAGAGCCAACCAUCUUAUAUCACUAGCCACAUGUUUGUGAUCUUUCUUUCUUUCUUUCAUCUCAGAAUAAACCUUUCUUCUGCAGUAAGCAAAAGAUGAGCAGGAUGAGAAAGUUCUGCUUUGCACAGCCUGGCCUGUCUCUUUAACAGAUCUGACCAGAUUAGCAUUUUUCUUUUCCCCUGGAGAAGACUGGCAUAUGCUUAUACCAUAAUCUGCUCUGAGCUCCUUCUUUGGAUUUUUCUUGUACCAAGGCAACUGAAGUUGAGGUUAGAUGUUAAUUGAAAUCACCUGGGAGUCUCUAACCCCUUCACCUUGCUUUCUCUUGGCACCAGUAUCCUGGGAGUUACUCUAUUUCUGAAUAUUGGGGCAGUCUUUCGAUCAAUCAAGAGCCUAUUUAAAGAAUUCUUCUAGGAGGUUGAUAAGAACCCAUGUGGCUUAUGUCAACAAAGCACUCCAACAAGGAUUCCAAACAUCACCCUCUGCAACCAGCAAAGCACUCAGACAGCAAGAGUUGCUAAAACAAAGACAGGCAGAUCCCUCUCUUCAGCCUGAAGGCAACACUGAGAAGCAGUAGGAUUAACAAAAUGUGGUUCACGCUGCGGUAUAUCCAUUUCUAACUCUUGUUACCCUUAAGUGUUCAUUUCAAAGUUUAUUUUUAUUGGUGAACUCUAUAAGCAGCUGGGUGGAUAUACACCAAAUGUUAGUAGUGGUGUCUCUAGGUAGUAGGUAUGAGUAACUUUUAUUUCUUAAUGUAUAUUUCUGAAAUUAUCCAAAUUGUCUUUUUUUUUUUUGUCUUUUUGCCAUUUCUUGGGCUGCUCCCGGCAUAUGGAGGUUCCCAGGCUAGGGGUCGAAUUGGAGUUGUAGCCACUGGCCUACGCCAGAGCCACAGCAACUCGGGAUCCGAGCCGCGUCUGCGACCUACACCACAGCUCACGGCAAUGCUGGAUCCUUAACCCACUGAGUAAGGCCAGGAAUCGAACCCACAACCUCAUCGUUCCUAGUCAGAUUCGUUAACCACUGAAGCAUGACAGGAACUCCAUGAAAUUUUCCAAAUUUUCUACAAACACCUAUGAUUUUUGCAAUCAGGGAAAAAUGAUUAAACAAAAACUAUAAGCAUUCAGGAAUUUCAGUUUUUCAUAAGAAUCAAGUGUAUAUAGGCAUUCCCAUCAUAGCACAGCAGAAACAAUCCAACUAGGAACCAUGAGGUUGCAGGUUCGAUCCCUGGCCUCACUGAGUGGGUUGAGAAUCUGGUGUGGUGUAGGUUGCAGACACAGCUCAGACCCUGCAUGGCUGUGGCUGAGGUGCAGGCCAGCAGCUACAGCUCCAAUUAGAUGCCUAGCCUGGGAACCUCCAUACGCCAUGGGUGUGGUCCUAAAAAGACAAAAAAAAAAAAAAGAAUCAAGUUUUUAUAAAUUUUAUAACUCAAAAUCCAAAUUACAUUUCUUAGCUUUUGCGUAAUUUAAGAUUUUCAGUACUACAAUCAUUUUAUGAACUAUGUUUUAAAAUUAGGAAACUACUCAAAAUGUAAAAAAGGAUACUAAAUUGGGUUUAACAUGUAAAAUUAUUCUGGUACACAAUUACAACCUUAACUGAGAUAAUUUAGACUCUUCAAGGUCACAAUUUACUAUUUUCAUACUCUGAAGCCCUCCCAAUACAGAUGAAAAGUGGAACUGCUUCUUUUUCUAAGACCAUGCAAACGAUAUCAUAUGCAGUGAUAUGGCUAAGAGACUACAGACAAAAAACAGCAGACUAGUGUUCCUUCCACCACAAAUGCUAGCCAAUAAAAACUUUCCAGUCUACAACUGAUUAAUACUUGACACCAGAUCUCUGGAAAAGAAAGCUAAUCGUUGUUGGCUGUUGGCUAAAGCAACAGACACACUCAGAAACCUGCCUACUACUAUAUCAUGACUGCUGUUUACUACGAUAACUGAUUUUUCAAUUUAGUGCCAUUUAAACAGAAACCUGGAAUAUGUACUAGCUUUUCUAAGAGCUACCUUUUUCAUAAUCUAUAAUAGCUAAACAUGUGUUAUUCACUGUCUUAUAGUGCUGAAAUAAAUUAACAUGGAAUCUUGGAAACCAUAAGCAUCUUUACUAGCUUCAGGAAGCUAGUAAAUGUGAACAAGUGAUUCCUUUUAAACUGUCCUAAUGUAAUGGUAAAUGGCCUCUUUUCUAAUUUCGAUUUCCAAAUGACUUACAGGUAUAACUACCAGAACAAUAAUAAUCAAAGGAGAGCAGUGGAGAGAGCAGAGAAUGGAGUCUUAAACAUCUCAGAGCACCUAAGAGGAGUUACUAAAUCUCCUUUUGUGUUCAGUAUGUUAAAACUUAAAAAAAAAGUGGGAGUUCCUGUCCUGGCUCAGCAGUUAGCGAACCCAACUAGCAUUCUUGAGGAUGCAGGUUUGAUCCCUGGCCUUGCUCAGUGGGUUAAGGAUCCAGCGUUGCCAUGCACUGUGGUGUAGGUCGUAGACGCACCUUGGAUCCAGCAUGACUGUGGCUGUGGCUGGCAGCUACAGUUCCGAUUGGAUCCCUAGCCUGGGAACCUCCAUAUGCCAAAAUUACGGCCCUAAAAGAAAAUAGGACCAAGAAAAAAAAAAAAAAAAAA